GAAGGCCCUGGGGCAGCGGCAGGGCUGGUGCCCCUACUUCCUGGCUCGAUACUCGAUCCUGCAUGCCAACGUGGUGGUUUACAGCUACCACUACCUCCUGGACCCCAAGAUCGCAGACCUGGUAUCCAAAGAGCUGGCCCGCAAGGCCGUUGUGGUCUUCGAUGAAGCCCACAAUAUCGACAAUGUCUGCAUCGACUCCAUGAGUGUCAACCUCACCCGCAGGACUCUGGACCGUUGCCAAAGCAACUUAGACACCCUGCAGAAGACGGUGCUCAGGAUCAAGGAGACAGAUGAGCAGCGGCUACGAGAUGAGUACCGGCGCCUGGUGGAGGGCCUGCGGGAGGCCAGUGCAGCUCGGGAGACAGAUGCCCACCUGGCCAACCCUGUGCUGCCCGAUGAGGUGCUGCAGGAGGCCGUGCCAGGCUCCAUCCGCACCGCCGAGCACUUCCUGGGCUUCCUGCGGCGGCUGCUGGAGUAUGUCAAGUGGCGGCUGCGUGUGCAGCAUGUGGUGCAGGAGAGUCCACCUGCCUUUCUGAGCGGCCUGGCCCAGCGUGUGUGCAUCCAGCGCAAGCCCCUCAGGUUCUGUGCCGAGCGCCUGCGCUCCCUGCUGCACACCCUGGAGAUUGCUGAUCUGGCCGACUUCUCCCCACUCACACUCCUUGCCAACUUCGCCACUCUCGUCAGCACUUAUGCCAAGG
rnacentral:lncRNA from 1 species